rnacentral:rRNA from 1 species
AACGAACGCUGGCGGCAUGCCUAACACAUGCAAGUCGAACGAGACCUCGGGUCUAGUGGCGCACGGGUGCAUAACGCGUGGGAAUCUGCCCUCUGGUUCGGAAUAACUCAGGGAAACUUGAGCUAAUACCGGAUAAUGACUUCGGUCCAAAGAUUUAUCGCCUGAGGAUGAGCCCGCGUCGGAUUAGCUAGUUGGUGAGGUAAAAGCUCACCAAGGCGACGAUCCGUAGCUGGUCUGAGAGGAUGAUCAGCCACACUGGGACUGAGACACGGCCCAGACUCCUACGGGAGGCAGCAGUGGGGAAUAUUGGACAAUGGGCGAAAGCCUGAUCCAGCAAUGCCGCGUGAGUGAUGAAGGCCUUAGGGUUGUAAAGCUCUUUUACCCGGGAUGAUAAUGACAGUACCGGGAGAAUAAGCCCCGGCUAACUCCGUGCCAGCCGCCGCGGUAAUAC